AAAAAAAAAAAAAAGGUGCCAGCAACAGAGAACAGGCUUAUAAAGCAGAAAAUACAGGGUUAAUUCAGGGGAAGGGUAACAGGGGGAGAAUAUCACACUAUACAAAUCCAAAUGGAAGGCAAGUGCAAAAUAAUGAAAAACGUUUAGGCCAAAAUUGCAGGACAAGCCAAUAAAGUUUAACAAAAGUGGCCAUGCAUAUCCAGAAACAGUUUGGAGCAAAAACUGAAUGUCU